AUAGCUUGCUAUUUUUAUGAAGAGCGGCGAACGGGUGAGUAACGCGUGGGAAAUCUGCCGAGUAGCGGGGGACAACGUUUGGAAACGAACGCUAAUACCGCAUAACAAUGAGAAUCGCAUGAUUCUUAUUUAAAAGAAGCAAUUGCUUCACUACUUGAUGAUCCCGCGUUGUAUUAGCUAGUUGGUAGUGUAAAGGACUACCAAGGCGAUGAUACAUAGCCGACCUGAGAGGGUGAUCGGCCACACUGGGACUGAGACACGGCCCAGACUCCUACGGGAGGCAGCAGUAGGGAAUCUUCGGCAAUGGGGGCAACCCUGACCGAGCAACGCCGCGUGAGUGAAGAAGGUUUUCGGAUCGUAAAACUCUGUUGUUAGAGAAGAACGUUAAGUAGAGUGGAAAAUUACUUAAGUGACGGUAUCUAACCAGAAAGGGACGGCUAACUACGUGCCAGCAGCCGCGGUAAUACGUAGGUCCCAAGCGUUGUCCGGAUUUAUUGGGCGUAAAGCGAGCGCAGGUGGUUUCUUAAGUCUGAUGUAAAAGGCAGUGGCUCAACCAUUGUGUGCAUUGGAAACUGGGAGACUUGAGUGCAGGAGAGGAGAGUGGAAUUCCAUGGGUUAGCGGG
rnacentral:rRNA from 1 species